rnacentral:tRNA from 1 species
GCGGGGGUGCCCGAGGGGACAAAGGGGGCGGACUUAAGAUCCGCUGCCGCAGGGCUUCGUGGGUUCGAAUCCCAUCCCCCGCA